GUCUGUAUAGAUUAUUCUAAAUCGUGAUGCUGUUAACUUCAAGAAAUGGUUAUUGCCAUUAUGGUCG
rnacentral:tRNA from 1 species